rnacentral:lncRNA from 1 species
UAAGGAGAUAUACUAUGUUAGAUGAAGCCACUAUCCUGCAAUUCAUUGAUCUAUUUUCUCAACUCUUCUAUCUCAAUAAGAUUCAUACGGUAAGGGGCAACCGAGAUAGGCUGAAUGUCAGGCUGAAGAUUUAUGGUGAACUCAACUUCUCUAUCCACUAGUAGUCCAUGUAGUUUAUCACAAAACACAUCCGAAAAUUUUUGGACUGCCGAGAUCUCUUGAAUACAAAUUUCUUUCUUAUGUUUGCCAUAUAUCACGUCCGGGUUGCCUUCAGCAUCUUACUGGGUGAGGUUGUAAGUUCUGCCCUUGAUAGUAGGUCUAGCUUAAUUUUGAUUUCGCAGGCACUCUCUCGCAUAAUAUUGGGUAUUCUCACAUAU